rnacentral:rRNA from 1 species
UACAGAGGGGGCAAGCGUUGUUCGGAAUUACUGGGCGUAAAGGGCGCGUAGGCGGCCUUCUAAGUCGAACGUGAAAUCCCCGGGCUCAACCCGGGAACUGCGUCCGAUACUGGAAGGCUUGAAUCCGGGAGAGGGAUGCGGAAUUCCAGGUGUAGCGGUGAAAUGCGUAGAUAUCUGGAGGAACACCGGUGGCGAAGGCGGCAUCCUGGACCGGCAUUGACGCUGAGACACGAAAGCGUGGGUAGCAAACAGG